ACUGUGUCAUCUAGAACCAGAAUUUGGCUACUCUGGAGGCUGAGGUGGGAGGAUCACUUGAGCCCAGGAGUUCUGGGCUGUUGUGCACUAUGCUGAUGGAGUGUCCUGCACUAAGUUUUGCUUAAUAUUGUGACCUCCUGGGACUUGGGGGACCACCAGGUUGCCUAAGGAAGUGUGAACUGACCCAGGUUGGAAACAGCAGGUCAAAACUCCUGUGCUGACCAGUUGGCUCAUGCCUGUGAAUAGCCACUGCACUCCCGCCUGGGCAACAUAGCUAGACUCCAUCU
rnacentral:lncRNA from 1 species